rnacentral:lncRNA from 1 species
CUGUAUUGUAUAUUAUUUUCUUGUUAAGAUGUACCUCUAUGUGAUUUUUACCUAUGCCCUUAUUUGUGACUUUAAUUAGUAAUACUUGACUUAUUUCAAACUAUCAGUCUGACUUAGGGAAUUAAUUGAUUCCUACAUGGUAUGAGAAUGAUUUCUUGCCUUAUUUAAGCCCUUAUUUUGUACCGUUAAUUGACUCUUAUUAUUCUAAGG